rnacentral:rRNA from 1 species
CAGCAGCCGCGGUAACACGAAAGGUCCAAGCGUUACUCGGAAUUACUGGGCGUAAAGCGCGCGUAGGCGGUUUUGUAUGUCGAUUGUGAAAGCCCCGGGCUCAACCUGGGAACUGCAGUCGAAACUGCAAGACUUGAAUGUUGGAGAGGUUGGGGGAAUACCUAGUGGAGAAGUGAAAUUCGUAGAGAUUAAGUGGAGCACCAGAGGCGAAGGCGCCUGACUGGCCAAACAUUGACGCUAAGGCGCGAAAGCGUGGGUAGCAAACAGGAUUAGAUACCCCCGUAGUCCCUGUCUCUUAUAC